UGACAAGUCAACCAUUAGCUAGCUGUGACCUGAGCAGUCAUUUUCUUGGUGUCCUGUCUGAAACCAGCAGUUCUUGCCCCCAGGGUCCUGAUCUGAGCUCCUGACCUGAUUUCACUUCAUAAUGGAUUGUCACCUGUAAGCUGAAAAGCCUUUCUUUCUCAAGUUGCUUUUGGUCACACUGUUAAUUAGCAAUGGAAAGCAAACCAAUACAAUAGUAAAAUUUUGA